AUUGAACGCUGGCGGCAUGCCUUACACAUGCAAGUCGAACGGCAGCACGGGGCAACCUGGUGGCGAGUGGCGAACGGGUGAGUAAUGCAUCGGUACGUACCUUUCAGUGGGGGAUAACGUAGCGAAAGUUACGCUAGUACCGCAUAUUCUGUGAGCAGGAAAGCAGGGGAUCGCAAGACCUUGCGCUGAUUGAGCGGCCGAUGUCAGAUUAGCUAGUUGGUGAGGUAAAGGCUCACCAAGGCGACGAUCUGUAGCGGGUCUGAGAGGAUGAUCCGCCACACUGGAACUGAGACACGGUCCAGACUCCUACGGGAGGCAGCUGUGGGGAAUUUUGGACAAUGGGGGCAACCCUGAUCCAGCCAUGCCGCGUGAGUGAAGAAGGCCUUCGGGUUGUAAAGCUCUUUCGGCCGGGAAGAAAUCGCACGGGCUAAUACCCUGUGUGGAUGACGGUACCGGAAUAAGAAGCACCGGCUAACUACGUGCCAGCCGCCGCAGUAAGAC
rnacentral:rRNA from 1 species